AUACGGAGGAUCCGAGCGUUAUCCGGAUUUAUUGGGUUUAAAGGGUGCGUAGGCGGGAUAAUAAGUCAGUGGUGAAAGUUUGCAGCUUAACUGUAAAAUUGCCGUUGAAACUGUUAUUCUUGAGAGUAGAUAAGGUAGGCGGAAUGUGUUGUGUAGCGGUGAAAUGCAUAGAUAUAACACAGAACCCCGAUUGCGAAGGCAGCUUACCGGGCUACAUCUGACGCUGAUGCACGAAAGCGUGGGGAUCAAACAGGAUUAGAUACCCUGGUAGUCCACGCAGUAAACGAUGAAUACUAGCUGUAUGCGAUAUAUUGUAUGUGGCAAAGCGAAAGCAUUAAGUAUUCCACCUGGGGAGUACGUUCGCAAGAAUGAA
rnacentral:rRNA from 1 species